CAUCGUCGAGUACGAAUGCUCCUGAUAGACGACCUAGCGCCACCGGCCCUCUUAAUCCAGUCAAUUCAACGUUUUCUUAUCCCAGUCUUUUCUUUAACCGAAUACUAGAAAAUCCGAUGAAAUUGUUUAUCGUCUGCAACGCCUAGAGCUUGCAGGCGUUAAGCUAGUUGCUUCAUCGACCUAAACCUAAUUGACGCUCAUGGGGUCGCUCUACCGUCGCCGAUUAUUUUUAUCAUGCCCGCCUUCUACGACCCUUUGGAUGGGUUCUUACUAUAGGACGCUUAGGUGGUGGUAGAGGACAAGUUCUAAAGGAUCCGGGCGACGGCUUCAUUUUCUGUAUUUGUUCGCUCGGCAGAAUCGCCUGAACUGUUUACUCUUUGCUUUGAGUAAUAGAGUGCAGGUUCUACUCUCCGAUUCAUCAAUGGAACUACCGUGAACACAAAGGAGCCUAUCAUUUCAUCAUUGAAGUCCAGGAGAGGCUCUAGCGUCUCAACAAUGGAAGACAUUGGAGGCCUUGACUUGGGUCUCUGACUUAAGCACUGGUAAGCCAUUAUCGCUGCCCUCUGUGCAGCCUUGGUGGAGUACAUGCCAUCAAGACUAGGGUCCAUUAUCCGGGAUAGUUUCCUGGCAUCAUUUAGGUAAGAAACUAGAGGACUAGCAAAUAAAUGGAGUAUUACCGAAUCCAACAAGAUGUUAGAAGCUUUAAAAUCUCUGUAUAUCACCGGCUUCUCCGCCUCGUGGAGGAAGGCCAAUCCCUUCGCAGCCCCCACUGCAAUCUUCAGUCUUGUUGACCAUGGCCAUCAAGAUCCAGGAGCUUAACGGCGACAGCCUGAGACUCCAUUCCUGGCCUCACUCUCUCAUCAAUGAUCCCCUUGUACACUGGUCCGAAGCCACCCUCUCCAAGAAAAUUACUAUUGGAGAAUCCUCCUGUCG